rnacentral:rRNA from 1 species
UACGUAGGGUGCGAGCGUUAAUCGGAAUUACUGGGCGUAAAGCGUGCGUAGGCGGUUGGCAAAGUCAGCUGUGAAAGCCCCGGGCUUAACCUGGGAAUGGCGGUUGAAACUAGUCGACUAGAAUCUGGCAGAGGGGGGUGGAAUUCCACGUGUAGCAGUGAAAUGCGUAGAGAUGUGGAGGGACACCGAUGGCGAAGGCAGCCCCCUGGGCUGAGAUUGACGCUCAGGCACGAAAGCGUGGGGAGCAAACAGG